rnacentral:rRNA from 16 species
GGAUGCGAUCAUACCAGCACUAAAGCACCGGAUCCCAUCAGAACUCCGAAGUUAAGCGUGCUUGGUCGAGAGUAKUACUAGGAUGGGUGACCUCCUGGGAAGUCCUCGUGUUGCAUUCC